rnacentral:rRNA from 1 species
UUAAGUUAUUAAGGGCGCACGGUGGAUGCCUUGGCACUAGAAGCCGAUGAAGGACGUUACUAACGACGAUAUGCUUUGGGGAGCUGUAAGUAAGCUUUGAUCCAGAGAUUUCCGAAUGGGGAAACCCAGCAUGAGUUAUGUCAUGUUAUCGAUAUGUGAAUACAUAGCAUAUCAGAAGGCACACCCGGAGAACUGAAACAUCUUAGUACCCGGAGGAAGAGAAAGAAAAUUCGAUUCCCUUAGUAGCGGCGAGCGAAACGGGAAGAGCCCAAACCAACAAGCUUGCUUGUUGGGGUUGUAGGACACUCUAUACGGAGUUACAAAGGACGACAUUAGACGAAUCAUCUGGAAAGAUGAAUCAAAGAAGGUAAUAAUCCUGUAGUCGAAAAUGUUGUCUCUCUUGAGUGGAUCCUGAGUACGACGGAGCACGUGAAAUUCCGUCGGAAUUUGGGAGGACCAUCUCCUAAGGCUAAAUACUCUCUAGUGACCGAUAGCGAACCAGUACCGUGAGGGAAAGGUGAAAAGCACCCCGGAAGGGGAGUGAAAUAGAACCUGAAACCGUGUGCUUACAAGUAGUCAGAGCCCGUUAAUGGGUGAUGGCGUGCCUUUUGUAGAAUGAACCGGCGAGUUACGAUUUGAUGCAAGGUUAAGCAGUAAAUGUGGAGCCGUAGCGAAAGCGAGUCUGAAUAGGGCGUUUAGUAUUUGGUCGUAGACCCGAAACCAGGUGAUCUACCCUUGGUCAGGUUGAAGUUCAGGUAACACUGAAUGGAGGACCGAACCGACUUACGUUGAAAAGUGAGCGGAUGAACUGAGGGUAGCGGAGAAAUUCCAAUCGAACCUGGAGAUAGCUGGUUCUCUCCGAAAUAGCUUUAGGGCUAGCCUCAAGUGAUGAUUAUUGGAGGUAGAGCACUGUUUGGACGAGGGGCCCCUCUCGGGUUACCGAAUUCAGACAAACUCCGAAUGCCAAUUAAUUUAACUUGGGAGUCAGAACAUGGGUGAUAAGGUCCGUGUUCGAAAGGGAAACAGCCCAGACCACCAGCUAAGGUCCCAAAAUAUAUGUUAAGUGGAAAAGGAUGUGGCGUUGCCCAGACAACUAGGAUGUUGGCUUAGAAGCAGCCAUCAUUUAAAGAGUGCGUAAUAGCUCACUAGUCGAGUGACACUGCGCCGAAAAUGUACCGGGGCUAAACAUAUUACCGAAGCUGUGGAUUGUCCUUUGGACAAUGGUAGGAGAGCGUUCUAAGGGCGUUGAAGCAUGAUCGUAAGGACAUGUGGAGCGCUUAGAAGUGAGAAUGCCGGUGUGAGUAGCGAAAGACGGGUGAGAAUCCCGUCCACCGAUUGACUAAGGUUUCCAGAGGAAGGCUCGUCCGCUCUGGGUUAGUCGGGUCCUAAGCUGAGGCCGACAGGCGUAGGCGAUGGAUAACAGGUUGAUAUUCCUGUACCACCUAUAAUCGUUUUAAUCGAUGGGGGACGCAGUAGGAUAGGCGAAGCGUGCGAUUGGAUUGCACGUCUAAGCAGUAAGGCUGAGUAUUAGGCAAAUCCGGUACUCAUUAAGGCUGAGCUGUGAUGGGGAGAAGACAUUGUGUCUUCGAGUCGUUGAUUUCACACUGCCGAGAAAAGCCUCUAGAUAGAAAAUAGGUGCCCGUACCGCAAACCGACACAGGUAGUCAAGAUGAGAAUUCUAAGGUGAGCGAGCGAACUCUCGUUAAGGAACUCGGCAAAAUGACCCCGUAACUUCGGGAGAAGGGGUGCUCUUUAGGGUUAACGCCCAGAAGAGCCGCAGUGAAUAGGCCCAAGCGACUGUUUAUCAAAAACACAGGUCUCUGCUAAACCGUAAGGUGAUGUAUAGGGGCUGACGCCUGCCCGGUGCUGGAAGGUUAAGAGGAGUGGUUAGCUUCUGCGAAGCUACGAAUCGAAGCCCCAGUAAACGGCGGCCGUAACUAUAACGGUCCUAAGGUAGCGAAAUUCCUUGUCGGGUAAGUUCCGACCCGCACGAAAGGCGUAACGAUUUGGGCACUGUCUCAACGAGAGACUCGGUGAAAUCAUAGUACCUGUGAAGAUGCAGGUUACCCGCGACAGGACGGAAAGACCCCGUGGAGCUUUACUGUAGCCUGAUAUUGAAAUUCGGCACAGCUUGUACAGGAUAGGUAGGAGCCUUUGAAACGUGAGCGCUAGCUUACGUGGAGGCGCUGGUGGGAUACUACCCUAGCUGUGUUGGCUUUCUAACCCGCACCACUUAUCGUGGUGGGAGACAGUGUCAGGCGGGCAGUUUGACUGGGGCGGUCGCCUCCUAAAAGGUAACGGAGGCGCUCAAAGGUUCCCUCAGAAUGGUUGGAAAUCAUUCAUAGAGUGUAAAGGCAUAAGGGAGCUUGACUGCGAGACCUACAAGUCGAGCAGGGUCGAAAGACGGACUUAGUGAUCCGGUGGUUCCGCAUGGAAGGGCCAUCGCUCAACGGAUAAAAGCUACCCCGGGGAUAACAGGCUUAUCUCCCCCAAGAGUUCACAUCGACGGGGAGGUUUGGCACCUCGAUGUCGGCUCAUCGCAUCCUGGGGCUGUAGUCGGUCCCAAGGGUUGGGCUGUUCGCCCAUUAAAGCGGUACGCGAGCUGGGUUCAGAACGUCGUGAGACAGUUCGGUCCCUAUCCGUCGUGGGCGUAGGAAAUUUGAGAGGAGCUGUCCUUAGUACGAGAGGACCGGGAUGGACAUACCUCUGGUGUACCAGUUGUCGUGCCAACGGCAUAGCUGGGUAGCUAUGUGUGGACGGGAUAAGUGCUGAAAGCAUCUAAGCAUGAAGCCCCCCUCAAGAUGAGAUUUCCCAACUUCGGUUAUAAGAUCCCUCAAAGAUGAUGAGGUUAAUAGGUUCGAGGUGGAAGCAUGGUGACAUGUGGAGCUGACGAAUACUAAUCGAUCGAAGACUUAAUCAA